UGUCUUCCCACCUCCAUUGACACCCACAAUCAUGAUUACAGCUGGUUUCCUGAAGCCCAGACUGAGUUCUGUUUUAGGUGCUUUACUAGUCAAUAGAUCCAAGAUACUCUUCUUUAGAACACUUUUUAUCUCACUUCCUGAUUUGAUUUUCCCUGCAUAUAUAUCCUCCCGCAAGCUCUCCACAAUCUUUAUGGUAAUCUUCGGCCCAAAAUCAGCGACCAACAGAACCUCUUCAAGUUCAUCAAGAACACGAUCAGUAUCAGAAAGGUUCCAGUAAAGGAGGAGUUCAUCAAUAACAGCUAAAUUGUCUCGAGUUUUUGAGAAUCCUGAGAACAGUUUCUCCACAUCACUCUUGGCUUUCUCUUUCAGCAAACGACCAAGCUUCGUGAAGAACCCCGUUUGACCCGCCGAGCAUCUAAACCGGGACUGAUCGAACCGGGUUUUGGAUGUGAAGUGGAGGAGAGUUGAACCGGAGUUAGAAUGUGGGAAUACCGUUUUGGAAGGAAGACGUGGGAGACGAGAAGAUAACGUUGAAG
rnacentral:misc_RNA from 1 species